CCUCUAGACAGAGAAGGGCUUCGGUAGAUUUGUCGGACUGUCGAGUAAGCAGUCUGGCUAGCGGUAUCGUUGCUGCGGCUGGAAUGGGGGGCUUGGCCCCAGGCCAACAGUGGUUAGAAAGGCUCAUUGUUGGGUGUAACUAACUACCAAAUUUAAAGCUAUUGGUAGGUGACUCAACGCAGCCUUAAACGGGGCCGCAGUACCCAGUAAAAGGCUGUGCUAAUUGUUUUGAGAACGGUACCUUGGCUAUCUAAUAUCCAUUCAACUGAAUUACCUGUUUUUUUGCAUGAUAUUGCUGUGCAACAGCAAUUCUGAGUCAAAACUGGACGACAUGAAGGGGUGUUAUUCCCCCCUCACUCCUGUCUGGCGCGCCGGGUCUGCAGUGGAGCUGUUAACAGAUGAUCCCGAAACCGGCAUCUAAGUGAGAACCAGAGCAAUGGGACGCUCCCUGAGUGGCAACAUCAGAGUCCCUUUCUCUUCCGAAAUGGAGGGGAUCGACAAUGAAUACUCAACAUUCCUUUCACCUGAUGUUGGAUAGAUAGGGUUUUUAUCAUGAAAAAAAACCUACAGGGGAGAUUUUACCCCCAUAUUGUAAUGUUUUUAUUUCCAUAGUCAUUUUCUUUUAUGUGUUUUUGUGUUUGUUUUGGUUGACUGUACGGUAUGAGGUAAAGCUCUACCAUGAGUGUGGGGCAUGGCUCCCUCUGUGUGUCUGUGUAUUUUAUUAUAGUUUUUUUUUUAUUAAUGUGUUAGGAAAACUCGGGACUCUAAGCCUUGAUGAUAUUUAAACCUUCUUGGGGGAGACGGAGGGAAAGAUGCCAAAAAAAAAGGGGGGGGGGGGAGAAAGCAACCUGAGGUAGAGCUGACAUGAUUGGAGCUACCCAGAAGCCCAUGCGUCUGUGUUUACAAACCCCACAGGUGGCCCCACACGGCCGACAGCCCUUGCAGCAGCAUGUCUUCCACUUGUCCACUCAACACACUUUGCACUGCUUGUUUCAUUCUCCACAUCCACUGUAUAUGUCGUUUUAGUUCGUAACCCCAGGCCCCAGCACCACAACCAUUUGUCAGCGCCCAACUCCCAGUUCAGACCUAUUCAAAGCCAAGCACAGCUCGUUUGUCUUGUUGAUUCACUCUGGUCUAUGCACUUGUUCACAAGUGCUCUGAUCAGGAUCUCAAAAGUCCCUGUGUCUUUUCUGUAUUUAAGCUUUAUGCAAGUCAGAACAUGUGCACCUCUGAACGAGAUGGCAAAAACAUCAGAAAUCCUACAGACAAUAAAACACUCAAUCUACAGGCACACCUUCCACGUGUGCUAACGACCCUCUUUUGUGAGUCACACACUAAAGAUCUAUGUUUAAUCUCAUUCUGAUACCACGGUCAAUCUAAUUUCACUAUUCACACUCUUGACAGUUAUUUCCUGAGGCUAAGAGUCCCUGCUUAUCAUGUAUUUUAGUAAGUGCUUUCUGAGCUCAUGGUGUGUUCAUUUUGUUUUAUUUUUAGAAUGUUGCUUUUUAGUUUUGUUGUUUUCUUUUCUUUUGGUUCUGUUUUGCUUUGCUAGUAUAAAAAGAUAUCUAUAAUAAUGUGCGUUGUAAUUUAGAAGUAGCUGUAGAAAUGCAUUGUUUCCUUGUGGUAAGUGAUUGAGAUGCUGCCACGGAAGUAAGACACUGAUGAAUGGUGCUAUUUUGGACUUUAAUCUGCUACUUGGUGAGGUAGCUCUGGUGGGUUUCAUUUUAUAUGUUCAUGUUCUGAGAAGGUGUUGGUUCUUUGUGGUCUGGACGUUGUAUACUUGGUCUGGAUUGACUUUUUUUUUCCUGUUGAUUUUCUGUGCGGCUUUCUCAUUGGAUUUAUGGAUGAAACAAACAAAAGAGGAAAAUAGGCACAGUUGAUAUUUUCAGAAGGUGGCGAUCCAAUCACGUGUGGAGGGUGGGAGCAAUCACAAAACUGCAAUCCUUUAAAAGAGCUGUUUUGCCCCCUCAGCACAGAUAAGACUCGGACAUGAUAGUUAUAGGCUAGUUCCCAGCACAGGUCACUUUUAGAAAAUGUAAUGCUCCCUCUAAUUAUGUACCACAUGAAGAGUCACACUAACUAUAUAAAGAGUGUAUUUUGUGGCGCAGUACUGUCAUGGGUACAUCAACCUGAGAUUUGCACAUUGCAUAUUAAGAAUGCUUCCAUCAAUCAAUCAAUCAAUCGAAGAAGUCUCAACACAUGCCACAGCAUUAAAUGAGCUUUCUGCUUCUUCCAUUGCUUUGCAUAGUUUAGAGGCUAUGAUGUGGGGAUGGGGGGAGGGUACGAAAUGGCGAACCAUUUUGCCAUAGUCCCUUCCAAAAGCCAUGCACCUUCUUCAGACGCAGCUCGUCUGGGGCUCAGGGGUGUUAGAUGCUGCAUCUUUACCAGCAGGCCAAGACCUGUACGUCUGAUAAUCUAACUGUCUCUGGUCAGACAGUCAAUCUUAAAUUGUGAUGCACAUAAUUUUUUUUAGAAAUGCAUUUUCCAAAAAAAGCCAAAUAUGUAGCAUAAAGAAGCUGAACAAUCUUCAUAAUGACUUACCUAUUUUGUAAAGUAAUAUUAGAAUUAUUUUUCUUUGAUAAAAUAUGAACCAAAAAGCUUUCUAUGAAUUAUUUUGUCUAGUGAGGUUAACUUAAGUAUUGUUAUUCAGUAUUUGCAGUUUUGUCUUUGCUUCCUGUCGAUUCAUACUUUUAAAAGUCUCAAUAUGACGACCAACUUGAAAGCCCACAUUAGUUUCUUUGUCUUCCAUUCUUACUCCAGUAUGGAGGACCCUCCUAGCUUACUGUAGUUCUUCCUUGACUCCAUUAUCCUGUCCACUUGCAUGUUCUGUGCUGUUUUGUUUCUCUUCAGUACUUUUUCAAUUAUUCUUCCUCAUAGACUAGGUAUGCCAGCUGUCUUGUACAUAGCAAGUGAUUAGUAUAGGCAGGGGCGGCAACAGUAUGAGAUAAUAUGUAUUAUUGAAUGUGUAUGAUUGGUUUUAAAAACUAAUGACAAAAAAAAACACACAAAACCAGCUUAGUUACAGUAUCUUAAUUAUGAAGCACUGAUAGUAUUCCAUGUACUUUUGGCAAAUUUAGCAGUAGUUAAAUAAAUUUGCAAGCUCUGAAAAAUGAA